rnacentral:rRNA from 1 species
AGAGUUUGAUCCUGGCUCAGGACGAACGCUGGCGGUAUGCCUAACACAUGCAAGUCGAACGAGUACUUGAGAGCUUGCUCUUUUGUGCUAGUGGCGGACGGGUGAGUAACGCGUGAGUAAUCUGCCUUAAAGUGGGGGAUAACAUUUGGAAACAAAUGCUAAUACCGCGUAAGAUAUUUUCUUCGCAUGAAGUUUGUAUCAUAGUUUUUUCGCUUUAAGAUGAGCUCGCGUCCGAUUAGUUUGUUGGCGAGGUAAAUGCUCACCAAGACUGCGAUCGGUAGCCGGGUUGAGAGACUGAACGGCCACAUUGGAACUGAGACACGGUCCAGACUCCUACGGGAGGCAGCAGUGGGGAAUAUUGCACAAUGGGGGAAACCUUGAUGCAGCAAUACCGCGUGAGGGAUGAAGGCUCUAGGGUUGUAAACCUCUGUCCAAAGGGACGAAUUUUGACGGUACCUUUGAAGGAAGCCCCGGCUAACUACGUGCCAGCAGCCGCGGUAAUACGUAGGGAGCUAGCGUUGUCCGGAUUUACUGGGUGUAAAGGGUGCGUAGGUGGUUUUGUGGGUCAGACGUGAAAUUUGCAGGCUUAACUUGUAAACUGCGUUUGAAACUAUAAAACUUGAGUGAAGUAGGGGCAGAUGGAAUUUCCGGUGUAGCGGUGAAAUGCGUAGAGAUCGGGAGGAACACCAGUGGCGAAGGCGAUCUGCUGGGCUUUUACUGACACUGAGGCACGAAAGCGUGGGUAGCAAACAGGAUUAGAUACCCUGGUAGUCCAUGCCGUAAACGAUGAUUACUAGGUGUAGGAGGUCUGACCCCUCCUGUGCCGCAGUUAACACAUUAAGUAAUCCACCUGGGAAGUACGACCGCAAGGUUAAAACUCAAAGGAAUUGACGGGGACCCGCACAAGCAGUGGAGUAUGUGGUUUAAUUCGAAGAUACGCGAAAAACCUUACCAAGUCUUGACAUCCUAAGAAUUCUUUAGAAAUAUUGAAGUGCCCUUUCGGGGGAGCUUAGUGACAGGUGGUGCAUGGUUGUCGUCAGCUCGUGUCGUGAGAUGUUGGGUUAAGUCCCGCAACGAGCGCAACCCUUACAAUUAGUUGCUAACAGUUUGGCUGAGCUCUCUGGUUGGACUGCCGUUGAUAAAACGGAGGAAGGUGGGGAUGACGUCAAAUCAUCAUGCCCUUUAUGACUUGGGCUACACACGUACUACAAUGGCUAUUAACAAUGGGUUUUGCAAUCUCGCGAGAGUGAGCUAAUCCCCAAAAAUGGCCCCAGUUCAGAUUGUAGGCUGAAACUCGCCUAUAUGAAGACGGAAUUGCUAGUAAUCGCAAAUCAGCAUGUUGCGGUGAAUACGUUCCCGGGUCUUGUACACACCGCCCGUCACACCAUGGGAGCCGGUAAUACCCGAAGUCAGUGCCCUAACCCUCUGGGAGGGAGCUGCCGAAGGUAGGAUUGGUGACUGGGGUGAAGUCGUAACAAGGUAACC